rnacentral:RNase_P_RNA from 1 species
GGAGCAGGACGGCUAGCCGCCUAUAUGUUUAAAUAUAGGAGGAAAGUCCGGACACCCAUAAAGGAAGCCUCGGAAAACGAGGAAAGCCGUAAGGCUUUAAGAAGGUCACAGAGACAAUACUACCUGGUAUCAAAUUAUUUUGGAUACCAGGGAAAGGUGAAAAGUGGGGAGGUGUUAAAACAAUCUUGUUUUAGCUACUUCCCUCUCUUAAGGAGUAAUCCUUAAGAGUGGCCUUCUUCUUCUGGGUGCAAGGCCGCGCCAUCCUUUUAGGAUGGAGUGCCGCUUGUCCUUUGGAGUGAUCCAAGGGCUAGACAGAUGGCUAGUGCUAGCUUUUAAAGUUAGUACAGAAUCCGGCUUAUAGUCCUGCUUUAUUU